rnacentral:lncRNA from 1 species
UCAGACUGCAAAAGUUGAAUUUUCAUAUUCUGCUUACCAAAAGUAUAUUCAGGGAAUCAUGGGAGAAAAUUUUUGCAAUAUAUCCAUCUAACAAAAGUCUAAUAUCCAGAGUCUACAAGGGACUUAAAGAAAUUUACAAGAAAAAAAAAACAACCCCAUUGAAAAGUGGGCAAAGGACAUGAACAGACAAUUCUCAAAAGAAGACGUACAUGUGGCCGACAACCUGCUGGACAUCUCCACCCAGAAGUACUACAGGAACUUCAAACUCAACGCAUCCACAGUGGAAUUCAUGAGCGGGCCAGGCACUGCGUUUUCUUCAUCUUUGUGUAUCCAGCACCUAGCAGAGAGCAGGAAUUGUUGGCUGAGUAAGCAUCUUAUUUGGAAGGCAGAGGGGCGGAAAUGUUUGAGAAUUACAGGAGUAGGUAAAAGUCCCAAAGCGAUGUAAGGAAUGCAGGUUGGAGCGUUCAUCAAAACUGCGUUUCCUAGAAGUCAUUGUAUGAAAAGGACACCAGCACAUGUAAAUUUACAGCAGCACAAUUCACAAUUGCAAAGAUGUGGAACCAACCUAAGUGCCCAUCAACCAAUGAGUGGGUAAGGAAAACGUGGUACAUAUACACCAUGGAAUACUACUCAGCCAUUAAAAGGGAGGAAAUAAUGUCUUUUGCAGCAACUUGGAUGGAGCUGGAGGCCAUUAUUCUAAGUGAAGUAAGGCGGGAGUGGAAAACCAAAACCACAUGUUCUCACUUAUAAGUGGGAGCUAAGCUAUGAGUAUGCAAAGGCAUACAGUGUGAUAUCAUGGACUUCAGAAAUGCAGAAGGGAGAAAGGGAAGGGGGGCUGGGAUAAAUCACCACUAUAUAAUUCAUCCAUGUAACAAAAAACACCACUUAUACCCCACAAACUAUUGAAAUACAUUUUUUUUAAAGAAAGAAACUGUAUUUCCUGAUGCACUCAAAUAAAAUAAUAAAAUCCUGGGUCUUUGAAAAUGAAUCCUUCAUGGUUAGGCAUCACCAUCUAGUGAAUAUCCUGAGCCAGCCAGCUGCUUUCACCUUUUUUUUUUUUUUUUUUGUGAGACAGAGUCUCACCGUGUUGCCCAGGCUAGAGUGCAGUGGUGUGAUCUCAGCUCACCUCAACCUCUGCCCUCUAGGCUAAAGCCUUCCUCCCACCUCAGCCUCUCGUGUAGCAGGAGCCACAGGCUUGCACCACCACACUUGCCUAAUUUUUUUUUAAAUUUUUUUUAUUUUUUGUAGAGACAUGGCCACCUCCCUUGGCCUCCCAAAGUGCUGGGAUUACAGACGUGAGCCUUGGCUGCACCCGGCCCUUGGCUACUGUUUGAAGCUACUAUUACCUUCUUGCUUAUCAAGUUGCUCAUUUACUUCUCAGGGCCAGCUAGGUGCCUGGAACUUCCCUUGAAGGAACUCAAGAUUUUCCUUUAUUGUCAUGUUUGGGGGUGCUCAGCAGACCCUUAAGAGAGGUCCCUGCUCCAUCUCACCAAAUCAAGAAAUUCUUAGAGGUUCAUGAAACUAAGGGCCUGCCCAGAACACUAGAACCAAAGAAACAUCUGCCGCAAAUGUACACUUAGGUUUUUACGUCUUUCAAGUCGGGAGCAG